rnacentral:rRNA from 1 species
CCUACGGGUGGCAGCAGUGGGGAAUAUUGGGCAAUGGGCGCAAGCCUGACCCAGCAACGCCGCGUGAAGGAAGAAGGCUUUCGGGUUGUAAACUUCUUUUCUCAGGGACGAAGAAAGUGGCGGUACCUGAGGAAUAAGCCACGGCUAACUACGUGCCAGCCGCCGCGGUAAUACGUAGGUGGCAGGCGUUAACCGGAUAUAUGGGGGGUAAAGGGCGUGGAGGCGGGUGCGCAAGUCAGAUGUGAAAACUCUGGGCUCAACCCUGAGCCUGCAUUUGAAACUGUGUUGCUUGAGUGCUGGAGAGGCGAGCGGAAUUCCGUGUGUAGCGGUGAAAUGCGUAGAUAUACGGAGGAACACCAGUGGCGAAGGCGGAUUGCUGGACAGUAACUGACGCUGAGGCGCGAAAGCGUGGGGAGCAAACAGGAUUAGAUACCCCGGUAGUC